UCGGCUCAAGAAACUUGACUCUCCAUUAGUUGAUUUCUCUAGAGACUCGCUACCAGUGGAGGGAAUAAUCACCCUUUUAGUCACAAUUGGUAACGAACCUCAAAAAGCAACUGCCAUGUUAAGCUUUUUGGUCAUCAAAGUUUCCUUAGCAUACAAUGCAAUCCUUGAUUGGCUUGGAUGAAGCAUGAUAGAAGCUGUGGUAUCUACUUACCACUUAUGAUCAGAUUCCCUAUUAGUAAUGAGUUGGCAAGGCUAGUGAUGAUUAGGUGGUGGCUCAAUAAUGCUAUAUGGCCAUCCUUUGGAAAACACCAAA
rnacentral:lncRNA from 1 species